UACGGAGGGUGCAAGCGUUAUCCGGACUCACUGGGCUUAAAGGGCGCGUAGGCGGGAUUGUAAGUUGGAGGUGAAAUACUAUCGGCUCAACCGUGGAAUUGCCUCCAAAACUGCUUUCCUUGAGGGGGAUAGAGGCAUGCGGAACCUUCGGUGGAGCGGUGAAAUGUGUUGAUAUCGGAGGGAACGCCGGUGGCGAAAGCGGCAUGCUGGGUCUCUUCUGACGCUGAGGAGCGAAAGCUAGGGUAGCGAACGGG
rnacentral:rRNA from 1 species